rnacentral:rRNA from 1 species
GAUGAACGCUGGCGGCGUGCCUAAUACAUGCAAGUCGAGCGAACAGAUGAGGAGCUUGCUCCUCUGACGUUAGCGGCGGACGGGUGAGUAACACGUGGAUAACCUACCUAUAAGACUGGGAUAACUUCGGGAAACCGGAGCUAAUACCGGAUAAUAUAUUGAACCGCAUGGUUCAAUAGUGAAAGACGGUUUUGCUGUCACUUAUAGAUGGAUCCGCGCCGCAUUAGCUAGUUGGUAAGGUAACGGCUUACCAAGGCAACGAUACGUAGCCGACCUGAGAGGGUGAUCGGCCACACUGGAACUGAGACACGGUACAGACUCCUACGGGAGGCAGCAGUAGGGAAUCUUCCGCAAUGGGCGAAAGCCUGACGGAGCAACGCCGCGUGAGUGAUGAAGGUCUUCGGAUCGUAAAACUCUGUUAUUAGGGAAGAACAAAUGUGUAAGUAACUAUGCACGUCUUGACGGUACCUAAUCAGAAAGCCACGGCUAACUACGUG